rnacentral:rRNA from 1 species
UGGGGAAUAUUGCACGAUGGGCGAAAGCCUGAUGCAGCAACGCCGCGUGAGUGAUGAAGGCCUUCGGGUUGUAAAGCUCUGUCUUUUGGGACGAUAAUGACGGUACCAAAGGAGGAAGCCACGGCUAACUACGUGCCAGCAGCCGCGGUAAUACGUAGGUGGCAAGCGUUGUCCGGAUUUACUGGGCGUAAAGGAUGCGUAGGCGGAUUUUUAAGUGAGAUGUGAAAACCCUAAGCUUAACUUGGGGACUGCAUUUCAUACUGGAAAUCUAGAGUGCGGGAGAGGAGAAUGGAAUUCCUAGUGUAGCGGUGAAAUGCGUAGAGAUUAGGAAGAACACCAGUGGCGAAGGCGAUUCUCUGGACCGUAACUGACGCUGAGGCAUGAAAGCGUGGGUAGCAAACAGGAUUAGAUACCCUGGUAGUCCACGCCGUAAACGAUGAGUACUAGGUGUAGGAGGUAUCGACCCCUUCUGUGCCGCAGUUAACACAAUAAGUACUCCGCCUGGGAAGUACGAUCGCAAGAUU